UACAGAGGGUGCAAACGUUGUUCGGAAUUACUGGGCGUAAAGCGAGUGUAGGCGGUGUGGUAAGUCGGAUGUGAAAGCCCCGGGCUCAACCCGGGAAGUGCACUCGAUACUGCCACGCUAGAGUAUCGGAGAGGUUGGUGGAAUUCUCGGUGUAGAGGUGAAAUUCGUAGAUAUCGAGGGGAACACCGGUGGCGAAGGCGGCCAACUGGACGAAUACUGACGCUGAGACUCGA
rnacentral:rRNA from 1 species